ACAAAGAGGUAAUUGGCUUAAGACCACCGCUAACAAGUAUACUUUCCAUUCUAGGGACGACGUGUUAAAAGAGCCGAUACAAAUAGUAGAAAUACGGCUGCGUAUAGUAUGUAUGUGGAAUGUACAAAAAGGUAGAAAUAAUACGGCUGCGUAUAGUACGUAUGUGGAAUGUAUAAAAAGGACCUGGGACAACGCAAUUCACAACUGUGUAGUCACCGUGAAGUGUAGUCGCGGUUGAUCACGUAGGUAAACACAUCCAGCGAGAGACACUUAACAGAACCGGGACAUCACCCAAACCAAUAGGAAUGGUCAACGAGAACGCGUGUCGACCCGAGAGAAGGGAGGUGUACGGACACUACCUUUUCAUAAUGGCCGCGUACACCUAGUCUUGUCAUCAAAUUAGACUGUCGGGGACAUGACAAAAUUGGCUUGCAUCUGAUUAGGGACGUGUCCAAACAAUUGUCUCAUCAUCCAAUAACCUCCCCUGUCCGGGACCAUCGAAAGUCACGGUGGCCGACAACUGACGAGAGGACAGAUGUGCAAUUACCGGCAGGGAAAGCCAAGUGUAUAUAUGUGUGUGCGUGUUCUCUUCCGUUUCCGUUUCGUGGUUGGGGAGUUCUCUGUGUAGGAAGUCGAGUAGGAACGGAGAACGCAAGAGAAGAGGCAUCGAACGUCUAUUCAUUCGAACAGGCAACACGCCUCUCCCCUCCGCCUAUCCAUGUAUGUGUACCUUCCCAACGUCUCUAGCAGGAGGUGAAAGUCUUCCAGGCCGAGCAGCCCGGACCACACCCUGCUCGCCAAGGACUGGCUCCCGCGGCUCCGCUUCCGGCGGCCGCUCCCGCCGUGCCUACUUCGGGUCGGCCUCUACGCCGCGAGGGCCUCGUGGCCGCCGCAGCCCUACUACGACGCGGCACCGCCGCUGCUGUUCUUCGUCGUCGUCGUCUUUUUCCUCGUCGUUCCGGUCUUCUUCUUCCUGCUCCUCGCGCUAGGGGUCCACAAGGCCUGGUUCCUCCACCGGGGCCUGCACCUGGGCGGCAGCGGCUCCCACAGGCCGACGUAGGAGACGCGGUAGAAGCCCCCGAGGCCGAGGCCGAGACCGGGCCGCCGCGCGGCUCCGGCGCGGUUCGGCUUCUCCUCCGUUGCCAGCCGCCGCAUUUCAAACUAGCCCGGAACCGCCUACCUACAGUACGCUCGACACAAAUAUGACCUCACUGCUACUACUACUAUAUGAUGACUAUAACCAACCAAACAUAACAUGAGACGAGACGCAAUGACGCAUGCAUCAGAUAUGCACAGUCCAAUCAAGGAGAAAAAAACCAAUCAAAGACCCAAGUCUAGGCACUCGUCGUCGUCGACGACUCUAGACGCUACAAGAAAGAACUAGACCGCGUACUAAAAAAGGGGCAGGGAAAGAACUCGACAACUCGUCGUCGGCGACCCACAACCAACGAACGUACACUCACACUCCACAACCGUGACAACGUACAUACCUCGACGUUGGUAUUUGUUAGUUAACCCGCCGUUUUGUAAACCCGUACCGGCGUACACACGAGUACGACGGCCACGCGCAAGACAAGACCGAGCACUCCGCCACGGCUGCGAUACCACGCUUCAAAAAAAUGAAACGAUCCGUCUUUUCUCAAUAUUUAAAGAGACGGAGCGUGUGUCGGGCAAGAAUACUUUAAGUACACGAGGUUUGAGACAAUCGGCUCGCAUCAAGAUAACCCAGCCAGGCCACUGGCCUUGUACGUGGCCAGCCGAGUUCUUUGACUAGGGCCCCACCGUUGAGACAAUCGACCUGGAGGAGGAAAAAGCAUCGGGUUUGUCCACUUUGUACUGAGUAGUACCUCCAAGAGUUUUUUUGUUUUUUUAGUAGUACCUCUCUCUUUUUUCAACGUUCCCGCACGAAGGAUCGUGUGUUUCAUCUUAGUUCUUCCUAGCUAGGGCAAGUAUUAACGCGCACUGCGCCCGUUCUGUCCGUGUACCUCCAGGCUCAUUGUCGGUCGUCUGUUAUCUUUGUGGUGUACCCGGCCGGUGUACUACUAGAGGAGGCAAAGUACUGAGACAGCGGCCCAGGGCAGACGAGCGGCUCAACCUGCACCUGGUAGCAGGCAAGGACGGUGGCCACGGCUGUAACUGUACGCCCCAAAGAGAAGAGUCCGGAACCUAAGUACGUCGGCUGUGACGGCAGCCAUACGCAUCGUACCGCUGGCCGCUGCAAAAAAGGCGGACACACGUGCGCUCAAAGAUGGCACGAGACAUAUAUAGAAACAGCAUGGAUCCUUAAAAUUUUACUUUUUUUAUCGUUCGAAUACGAUUCCAGGUAUUGUAUUAAAACUGGAACGAUUCUCGUUUUCAGAAACAACCCAACCACUUGUAAACCACUCACAAGCUAGAGCUCGAAAAAAGUAAACGACCAGUAUGUUGGCUACGACCAGGAACUACCCAGCAAGUAGACACUGCUGGAAACACCAGUUACGCACGUAUGCUAAGCAAUCACUAGUUUUAAUAGACAAACUGGUGGUUAACAAGAGUUGGCAAC
rnacentral:rRNA from 1 species